AUUUCUGGACAAGGAAGGUGUCCUCAGAGUAGGUGGGCGCUUGACUCAUGCAGCCCUCCAUCCACAUGUGAAGCAUCCCGCGAUCCUUCCUCGAGACAGCUACUUGUCAUCACUCUUUAUAAAACAUUAUCACGAGAAAGUGUACCAUCAAGGACGUGCUUUGACUAUGAACGAGCUCCGUGCUAAUGGGAUAUGGAUCCUUGGGUCUGUGUCAUCAUACAUCUACAAGUGCACCAGAUGCAGGAAAUUAAGAAGGUCCCCAGAACAACAAAAGAUGGCAGAUCUUCCUGUUGAGCGCACAGAAGAGGCCCCUCCCUUCACCUAUUGUGGGAUGGAUUGUUUCGGGCCAUUUUAUGUCAGGGAAGGAAGAAAAGAGCUCAAACGCUAUGGACUUCUACUUACCUGUAUGGCUUCUAGAGCAGUGCACAUUGAAAUGCUCGAUGAUCUGUCUACUGACUCCUUCAUUAAUGCACUUCGUGCUGCCAUUUCCAUUCGCGGGCCAAUUCGUCAGUUAAGAUGUGAUCAGGGUACAAACUUUGUUGGUGCUAGGAGAGAGUUUGCUGAGGCAUUAACUGAAAUGAAAGAAGAGAAGUUCAAAGCAGAAGGAUGCGAGUUUAUCAUGAAUACACCAGCUUCAAGUCAUAUGGGCGGAGUUUGGGAAAGGCAAAUCCGCACCAUCAGAAGUGUCUUAACAUCAAUCCUGGAGCAGUCAUCCAAACAACUUGACUGUUCUUCUCUUAGGACAUUUUUGUAUGAAGUCAUGGCUGUGAUCAACAGCAGGCCUUUAACCACUGAUUACCUCUGUGAUGCUUCUUGCCCCGAGCCCCUGACACCUAAUCACAUUUUGACCAUGAAGUCUACAGUAAUCGCUCCACCUCCUGGACGAUUUGUUAGAGAGGAUCUUUAUCUUCGUAAAAGAUGGCGUCGUGUUUAGUUCCUGGCCAACAGUUUCUGGUUGCGAUGGAAGAGAGAAUAUCUCUUGAAUCUUCAGCAUCGACAGAAGUGGACCAAGGAACAAAGAAACGCAAAGAAACGCAUCCAGAAGACUGUUACACUACUGGAAGCAGAUUGAAGGCCUGAGUUUACACUUUCAUCCUGUCAUUAUAAGCUUAUAAGCAGUAGUUGAAUCUUAAAGUUAGUAAAUAAAAGGUUAUAAAUAAGUUCAUCACAAGUUCAUAUAGCUUCACAUUAGGAAUAAAGAAAUGAAAAUAAAAUCACAGAAGAUUUUGGUGGGAGUAUAACUGUCAUCAGUUACCUAAAUGGCAUGAAUAAUAUUUCCAAUAUAUAAAUUAAUAUGGUUAUUUCAUUUGUUUAUGGUGAGCAUGGUUUUCAUGGUGCGCAGUAUAUUUUUGUGUUGUAUUGGGGUGGAAUCUUCUAUUCUACUUCCUGGGGGACAUAAUUCAGGGACGUACAGGAAAGGGAUAUCUUGAAAAACAGCGGUAAUCCAGUUUUCGCCUACCAGGACCAAAGAAGGCUUAAGCUUUAUGUGUGAGAUGUAUUUGAUGAAUAUUGCAAGAGAAGAAUGUAACGCGGGUCAUUUAACGUUUGAAUGGACCCCGGUUGUGGAAUAUUGUUCUUGAAGAAAUGUUAUGAAGAGUGAUGAACCUUUGUGUGCAACGAACCUAGCUCCUUUUGGUAACAAGCUGCCAGCGAGUUUUCACGGGACGAAGCUGAAUAAAGAACGCCCUGUAGUUUAAAA